GUAGUCAUAUGCUUGUCUCAAAGAUUAAGCCAUGCAUGUCUAAGUAUAAGCAAUUAUACAGCGAAACUGCGAAUGGCUCAUUAAAUCAGCUAUCGUUUAUUUGAUAGUACCUUACUACAUGGAUAACCGUGGUAAUUCUAGAGCUAAUACAUGCUGAAAAUCCCGACUUCGGAAGGGAUGUAUUUAUUAGAUUAAAAACCAAUGCCCUUCGGGGCUCUCUGGUGAUUCAUAAUAACUUCUCGAAUCGCACGGCCUUGCGCCGGCGAUGGUUCACUCAAAUUUCUGCCCUAUCAACUUUCGACGGCUGGGUAUUGGCCAGCCGUGGUGACAACGGGUAACGGGGAAUA
rnacentral:rRNA from 1 species